rnacentral:rRNA from 1 species
AUUGAACGCUGGCGGCGUGCUUUACACAUGCAAGUCGAACGGUAACAGGGUGCUUGCACCGCUGACGAGUGGCGAACGGGUGAGUAAUGCGUCGGAACGUGCCGAGUAGUGGGGGAUAACGCAGCGAAAGUUGUGCUAAUACCGCAUACGUACUGAGGUAGAAAGUGGGGGACCUUCGGGCCUCACGCUAUUCGAGCGGCCGACGUCUGAUUAGCUAGUAGGUGAGGUAAAGGCUCACCUAGGCGACGAUCAGUAGCGGGUCUGAGAGGAUGGUCCGCCACACUGGGACUGAGACACGGCCCAGACUCCUACGGGAGGCAGCAGUGGGGAAUUUUGGACAAUGGGCGAAAGCCUGAUCCAGCCAUGCCGCGUGUCUGAAGAAGGCCUUCGGGUUGUAAAGGACUUUUGUCAGGGAGGAAAUCCCUAGCGUUAAUACCGCUGGGGGAUGACAGUACCUGAAGAAUAAGCACCGGCUAACUACGUGCCAGCCGCCGCGGUAAUAC